ensembl:lncRNA
AUGAAAGAAAUACUGGUCAUCCACCAGCUGGAGCACCUAGGCUACAACAAACAAACCUUUUCCAUAAAAAGAGUGCCCCUAAAAAUGUUUCCUAAAGACCUGGAGGCAGUACAUUUUGAAUUUCAGAUCCGCUCGAGUUUGAUGGAGUCGGUAACAUGGAGCAAUAUUAGGCUGACAAGGAUAAGUCUUGCAGCCUGGCGAAUAUGCAGUCUGCGUCUCAAUACACAUCCCAAUCAACAUUUGGGCACAGAGGGCCUGAAGAGACAAGUCUUCAGAGAGACAUCUCACUCGCCCAGAAACCGCCCAAGACUCCAGACCUCUCCUUCUGUUAAGCAUGGACUACCCGGAUGUCCACUUCCACUGGGGGCUGCAGUGAGACAAAGCUACUGGGAUCUCCUAUAGGACCUACGGUCUUCUGACAGACACCUGCUACAGUACCAGGGAGAACCAUGGCACCACGGUCCUCUACCUCUAUUCAUCUAGAUUCUACACUACAGUGUGGUUCAUGCUCAUACUGCAGUGGAACAUGAUGCCCAGUAAUACUGAAUGACUAAUCUAAUCAUAUUGAAAAUAGUUUGUUUCAGUUCAAGUUUCAUUCUACUGUACCAGUGUUCAUUAUAUGCAGUUGCUAAAAUGUAUAUGGUUUGUCUUGACAAGAUGCAAGCAUUGAUUAUUACAUUGUUAUUCACAAAGAUGAUUAUUGUCUCAAUAAAUAAAAUGUCC